rnacentral:rRNA from 1 species
UACGGAGGGGGCUAGCGUUAUUCGGAAUUACUGGGCGUAAAGCGCACGUAGGCGGCUUUGUAAGUAAGAGGUGAAAGCCCGGAGCUCAACUCCGGAACUGCCUUUUAGACUGCAUCGCUUGAAUCCAGGAGAGGUGAGUGGAAUUCCGAGUGUAGAGGUGAAAUUCGUAGAUAUUCGGAAGAAACACCAGUGGCGAAGGCGGCUCACUGGAGCUGGUAUUGACGCUGAGGUGCGAAAGCGUGGGGAGCAAACAGG